rnacentral:misc_RNA from 1 species
GUUGUUAGUGUGUCGGUUGUGAAUUCGAUUCCAUUGCUGUGGCUGCUUUUUUCACCCUGUGAUGCCCUCGCCAUGCCUCGUGUUAUUCGCUGAGUUGGUAUGCCAGCCGACUCUCCCUCCGGCAUUACACAUGAUCCAGGUGUUGGGGUAACCGCCGUGCCGCAUCACGCCGCCCAGUCUCUCCAGCGCCCAUCAUGUGACCCACCGACACCUCCAUGCUGCUCGUGCCUCCCACCUCGCGCACUGCCCCCUUUGCCGAGCCCUUGGUGCCGCCCACAACCGAGAGUAGCGGGAGUGUCGCUGCCUACCCCAACCACACACUGGUGCCAGUCAAGGUUGAGCCCUCCCACCCCCGCUACCCGCCCCACCACCCGCCGCUCCCCGACAUCCACCUACGCCCACACAUGUCCGGCCUGAGCGAGACUCAAUACCCGCCCGCGUCUACCGCUACCCACUCGGCGCCCACAACGCCCGCGCCACCUUCCACUCCCACGCCUGCUCCCACAGUCAGUGCCCCGUCCGACCGCUCCGGGUCCGGCGGAUCUGCCAGCGGGGGGCCGCUCCCCAUCCUCCCGCCCACGGUGGUCGGCCCCUCGACAGGCAGUAUCGUUCCCACGUCCUCAUCCUCGGGUCCAGUGGGCGCCCUCACCCCGGCUAUGCCCGUGCCAGGGCCCUCCAACCCACAGUCCCAGCCCCCGCCAUCACAACAGCAGGGGCCACAGGGCCACCAUCCCCUGCUGGGAUACGUCAACCACGGAAACAAGAUUGUCUCCCGUAACCUCAACGGCACGCGGCCCAACUACCCACCAAUCAGCCAAACCGAUCGCCGCCCAGAAUCCAUAAGGCGCGCACAAGAUUACGGACACCCAAGUAAGUUGUCGCAGGCCCCUCCAGUCCCUCCACCUCUCUCCAUGUCUUCCUUCGCCGCCGCCGCCGCCGCCGCCGCCACCGCCGCUCCUGGGCUAAUGGCCGUGACUUCGCAGCCCUCCAACGAGUCAGAGUUGCAGCUGUACCGCGUGCUGCAACGAGCCAACCUCCUGAACUACUACGACACGUUCAUCAGUCAAGGUAGAGUGAAAGGAGGUGACGACGUGCAGCAGCUGUGCGAGGCCGGCGAAGAGGAGUUUCUCGAGAUCAUGGCGCUGGUGGGCAUGGCCUCCAAACCCCUCCACGUGCGCCGGCUGCAGAAGGCGCUGCAGGAAUGGGUCUCCAAUCCCGUCGUACCGGCUCGCGUGGACGACGCCACAGCCAUGUUCCAGAUCCCGCUGAUGCCAAACCUCCCGCCCUCUGUCGCGGCGGGUUUUCCAGCCCUCACUGGUCGGGGGCUGAUGGGAACCCCCACCCCCACGCCCACUCCCACCCGCCCCUCACCGCCCAUGAUCACCGCCAGCAUCCACCCAAACCACAACUCUAGUCCAGGCAUCACUAAGGAUUCGAUGCCCAAUAUGAACAGCAACAGCGUGGGCGGCGUGCGCGACGUCUCGGGCGUGCCCUCCACCCACUCCCUGCCGUUGACCACUGCCUCCACCACCCCCGCCCUGCCCACCUCCACCAUCGCCGGCUGCACUUCCAACGCCCGUGACGGACCCUUGGGUCUUGGGGCAGCCGGGAUGGGCGGUCCUAUGCCUGGCAUGGGCGGGGCGCCAAUAGGUGGCAUGGGAGCGGGCACAGGAGGAGGCAUCGGGGGCUCAAGAGGGCCCUCCCCUCAUCACACCUCCCCCACACACCCCGGCAUCAUCCCGCCCACCUCAGUCGGUCUUCAGAACUGCCACGGUACAAUGUCGGCUGAUAAGAAUGCGGAGUUUUUUCUCCCACUCAUGAAGAGCACGGGUGUUGAGCACCACCACCAGUACCCCCCUCCCCCCGGCUCCCCACUGCAGCUCACGCCUGUGCUGCUCAAUUCACAAGUGGACAGGCUGGCGGACACGGCCUACGAGCUGGUGCGCAAUCUGCCCCCGUUCGAGCCCAAGACACAACAACAACUAAACAACAACAACAAGCGCAAGAUGUCCAAAGAGCUCGAGUACAUAAUGAACAUGAGUGAAGACGACCCGCGGAGGAUGGAGGAGAUACGCAAAUACGCCGCCAUCUACGGUCGCUUUGACUGUAAGAGGAAACCGGAGAAGCCGUUGACACUGCACGAGGUCUCCGUGAACGAGGCGGCCGCACAGAUAUGCAAGUACAUGCCAGCCCUUCUGACGCGCCGGGAUGAGCUCUUCCCACUCGCCCGCCAGGUGGUGCGAGACUCCGGCUACCAGUACUCCAAGGGACACUCGAGGUCGCAGACGGUGGUGGGAGGACGCGAGGACGAGCCCAAAAACAAGCGUUCGAGAUCCGACUCUGGUCACGACGCCGGCGACCUCAAGAACGAUCUGCAGUGGAAGAAGAGACAGGAGCGUCUGGAGGCCAUCAGUGAGGAGCUGCGGCAUAUGAGCGAGCGAGCGGAGGAGGUGCGAACGAGCCUCUCCUCCGGCAGCGGGGACGUGACGGCGCUCACUUCCCAGAUGGACGCCCUGCAGACCCGCCACUCGCAGCUCACCCUCGAACAAAAUGAACUCCUGAAGGCGCAACGCAAGGCGAAGAGUGACCGCGUCUCUGUCUGCAGCGAGGACAGAGAGAGAGGCGAGGAUUCAGACUCACAGUUCUCCUACAGCGGCGCCAGUUCGCCCUCACAGUCGUACCUACAGCAGUUGGUGCAGGACACUCUAGUCGACGAAGGUCUCCGUGUGGUCAAGGAGUCCCUAAACCAACAGAAAGACCCUGUCUCUGGCGCCCGUAACCAAGACUCCUCUUCCUACCCGCGCGCCCCUCCACAGCAGGGGUUGCAACAGGACGGAGUAGGGGCCAAGCACAACUCGACUCCCUCAGGCACAGUGCCCACCUCCACCUCGGCCGCUCAGGGCAGACUCGUGUCCCCCCCAACCACCUACUCAGAAAUGUUCUCCUACCCAGAGAAUAAGGUGAGGAAGGUGCUCUCCUCCAGCCAGGGCAACAUCAUUGCUGUGGCCAACCCGGCGCUCUCCAUGUCAGCGGCGAUGGCCAACUCUCAGCUCAGCGACGAGGAGCGCCACAUCUCGGCGCUGUACACCCUCAGCCAGACAGCAGGAGCGUCUGCGACAUCACGGAGUAACUCUAUCAAGCAGGAGCCAAACUCCCCCGGGGCUACCAAGCAGGAGUAGUUGCGCCGACACAACCUACCCGGUGAGAGGAUCUUCACCUCUUGCCCGCAUCCACAACCCUUUCCUGCACCGGGGUACCAGUUCGCCGGACCUGCACCACCAACUCCCUCCGCCGGGCACUUCCCGCCCAAUCCUCAUCACCGUUACUCAGGCGUUCCUCGAGCAUGACGGGACGCGUGCAGCAUCAGAGUUCCUCCCCAGCCAACGCAACACUACCGCAGCAUCCGAGCAUCGGCAUCCAGGUCUUCUGUGCUAUGGAUGAUGUACUUCACCAGCACUGGAAAUAUACUACAGUUCCCUGGAGAUAUAAUGAAUAUGUUAAAACCCAGCUCCAGCCCCAGCCCGCCGCCUUCGGGAGUUGGCGUUCUGGAGAGCCUCGUGUUUGUCUUACCGCCGCCGCACUGCUGCGCCUGACGCACCCGAACUCUCCUCAUAUUUAGUAUUUGUAGUUAAGAUUUUUAUCCUCAGUCCAGUAGUGGUGAUCUGUCCGCAGUGAGAAGCAUGCUAAAGAGAUCAACACGGACAGCAGACAAGAGUGAUUACAAGAACUCUGGUCUUGGUGUGAGAAUAGUGUCAUGUGCGUGCGGGUCACAGCAUAAGCCAUAUAACAUUGGCAUUUGAAAAAAAAAUAAGAGGACAAGUUGUAUCUAGACGUGACGUUAAUCAUUAAGCAACAUUCAUUAUAACAAUUUUGGUUUAUGUAAUAACAAAAAUGUUUGUCAAGAAAUUGCAUUAUGUUUACAGAAAAGAAAUGCGAGGCUUCAGAGUUCAUUAUGAGAUUAUGUGUUUUCGCAGAAGUUAUGAAAUGCAUUGUCUUUAUGUGAAGUUUCAGAAACUUCUUGAGACUUUUGCCAAAGAAUAGUCGAGAAUUAAGUAAACGCAGACUGCUUGGAGCGUCGUCGCUGGUGUGGAAGAAAGUAACUUCUGGUUCCUUAACAGUACAAUGUGAACACUUAUAAUUUUUCCCCUGACAGAUCAGAUAGUUACUUAACAGUUGUCAAGCCUGGGAACACUCCAAGCCCAGCAUCCCUGACAGCGGAGCAUACGACAACCCACCGUGCAGGACCUGCGCGUGGACACCCUUGAGGAACUUCAACAAAUUACUCGAAGCCUCUUUUUUUUAGUACAAGUAUGAAGCCGUCAAGCACUCUCACCUCAGUACUCUACGGUAGCCUCGUGUGCCACCUCUCCUGCAGUUCCAGACACCCUUAUCUCACUCAUGUCUCGCAGGGGGAGGCCAGAGGAGGCCCAGUGAAGAUAUCAAGCUGGUUUGCAUAUUGAUCUCAGCUUGACCGUGACCAUUAUGCGUCAAGGAACACAUGGGAUCGCCACCUUACAUUAUCCUAAACACUGAUUUAGGAAGAAAGAAAAAGAAAAGAAAAAUGACAUUAUCAUUCGUACUCCAAGCUCAGGACUACAAAAUCUGUCAAGUUAAUUUAACUUUGAGUAACCAUUAACUUGAUGAUCUGUAUGCCGCAUUCAUGCUUGGCGAUAGACUUUUCUGUUUUCUUACUAUCAGCACGAAAUUGAAUACCUACCUGUCAGAUUCCCACAGUGAUGCACCCGGAAUGGAACUCCAGGAAGUUGAGGUGAAUUUGGUCAACUUUGCUCUGUUGCCGUGAUUCUGUUUUCUCUGUCCAUUACUUCAAGCCUCAGCUGCGAUCCGUAGUUCCUUGUUGACUUGUGGCACCCAACCAGACCCUAAUACUGAAGCGUUGUGGGGUGGGCAGUGGGACAGCCGGGCGGUGCUUAAACAGUGCGUUGAAAACUCAUUCUAGUGUUGGUAAGGCCCCAGUCCUGGCAGUCAUCGUUAUCAUCAGUCACCAACAUAAUCACACACGCAAGCAAGCACGGGGGACAGGUUUCCAUAAACCUACAUUGGUGUGGCCUAGGGGAGGGGUGUGAGGCGUUAGCGCAUACUCAGCUUGCCUCCAAUACACAUACCUCCCUUUCCCCUCAGCCGUUCUCCCAAAACUCGCGGUAUGUUGUACACAACAUGUCAUGCAGUUUUCGUGCUUCAUCCCAGAUUUUCCCCCGCCUCGAGUAAAGAAGGCUCCUCAUGUACCCAGCCUCGAACUCGGGGCUUUCUGACAGUUGCGUGGGAGUUGACUGUGAUAAGUGAGCGACGCUGCCAGCAACACGGGCGGCGGGUGCUGUCCAGUACUCGUCUCUUCUCUCCAACUCGAGGCUUCAAGGUGUGACACUUGACUGAUUCCAUCACAGCUAUGAUUUAUUCAUCUCUAAAUUGCAAUAUAUAAAUAUAUUUUCACCUUAACUAGAUCAAUGAAAACUGACUGAGCGUGACCAAGAUGUAUCACGAACUCAUCAGGCAAGACGUUCAGCUACGAGGUCUCGAGACUUGGAGUGCAGAGUCAAGCAAGACAGACGAUAAUUGCUUUGCAUUUGUGAACUUUAGGCGACGAGAUAAUGAUUCUUGUAGUAAGUGUAGAUAUUAACUUAGAAUGAUGUACUGUAGUUCACAUGGCUUCCUUAGCGGAGCCUAGUCGGUGUACCUGUCUACAAAUUAUGUAAAGUGGAGAGCGGGAGUGGGUUCUAUUUCUAAUGCUGAUGAAACUGCGAUUUGAAUGACAUCUGAAUCAUUGUGGACGUCUGACGGAGGCCAGGAGGUCUUACUGGUCUGCUGCUGUCGGCGAUCUAGUAACCCCUUGGCCGCCCGCACCGCCGCGGAGCCGCCACCCACAGGCGGACCGUCAAAUACUGAUUUUCGAUAGUCCAGACAUGUCACAACAGCUGCGCGCCACAAGUGUCUGGUGCAAAUAUCUCCUUGUAUCUCUUUGGUUAGGAUCUAGUCCUCCCAUUCACUCAGUACAACGUUAUAUUUCGCAUUUUGGAGAGAAAGAAACAGUGGAGGAUAUUUUAAUUUAUCAUCAUUAUUAUUAUUAUUAUUAUUAUUAUUAUUAUUAUUAUUAUUAUUAUUAUUAUUAUUAUUAUUAUUAUUAUUAUUAUUAUUAUUAUUAUUAUUAUUAUUAUUAUUAUUACUAUUAUUAUUAUCAUUAUCAUCAUUAUCAUCAUCAUCAUUAUCAUCAUCAUCAUCUAAUUGUAAUAACGAAGUUUAGAGUCAGUAGGUCGCAGCUAGUAAUUGUUUUACCUGUCACUGCUCGGAACACCAAUGAACGUGCAUACCACAAUGGAGGGAAGCCAGUGUUGAAGGCUGCAGGGUCGUCCCGAGAGGAAGGUUGUCGGUCGGUGUCCUGAGUCGCUAGGGACCGCCGGGAGACGACGGUGAAAAAUAUCGAAAAACAUUUUUGACACAUUUUUUUUUUAUAUCUAGUGGCCUCUGUAGACUACCUCGAUGCUGAUCCCUGAUAAAAUACGGUUUAAAGCUGGGCCUGGUCCCCUGAGGUAAUGAGGUCAACGGAAUUAAAAGAUUUGUCAUGUUAAGAGCACUUGUCCGAUUCUUUAGUUCAGUAGUGUAAACAUUUUUUCGUCAGGACUCCAGUUCUCUAGGGAAUCAACCUGAGUUAAUCAAAGCAUAACUCCAGCUCGGAUUCGUUUCAAAUAUCGUCAACUGAUCCUUUUUUCUUUUUUUUUUUUGUGUGUGUGCGUAUGUAUGUAUGUAGUGAUCAGUUUUCGUGGCACGUAUAAGACCCAUACAUGUUGCAGGCACACGAUGAGGGAAAUGUUUCGCCCAUUUGAUGCGUAGAGCUUCGAUUAAAUUAAACAUAAACAGUAUCAUGUGCUACUGUAGUGCAAAUAUCUGCAUGUACAAAUAACACCAAUAAUUAUACUGAUUGAUAUAAAGGCAAAAAAUAUUUGAUUAUCUAUUAUUGGGUAUAGCAUCAAUUUUCUUUUACUUGUCAAAGAAAACGUAAUUCCCAUUUUCUCAUUUUGUAUUCUAGUGUGAUGCCGUACGUAAAUAUUUGUGCCUGCUUUACUUUUAUAUAAACAUUUGAAAUGUAUACAUUUCUGAAAUCGUGCAUAUGCCGAAUGGAGUCAAGAACGAUGUAUACAACUAUUAAAAGUUCAUGUUCACGUAAUAUUUGCGGUGAUGAGAUAUCCCGGGAUGAAACCGUCACGUGACGCCAUAGUUACCAGUGACCACAUGGCAGUCCACUUCAGCCAGGCAAGGUGAGCAGCUGAAUGUGAAACCUUGCGCCAUCAGCAGUGUUUGUGUGACAUCAUUCAGACCUGGGUUACAUAUUGAUAACGGUGAAUCAUCCCUGUGACUCUGGAAACAACCAUUAAUGAAACUGCAGUAAGUCGUGGACUGGCGAGCUUGUUGUCCGUGGCGGCGCAGGUCUGACGUGGAGGGGGCCAGUGGGGACGGGUUGCUGGCUGCCUCCACUCCACACCCUCGCGUCGACCCGGCAACUGCCAGACCAUCGUGUUGAUGCUCAUGUGUUUGUAAGCACAGAAGAAAAUAAAGUCUGAUAUUGUGAUGA